CCCUCCCUGCAGUGCCUGGCGCUGUGCUCUGACCUCAGCAGGGUUACAGGAUAGUACAUGGAAGGAAUUUCAGCACUCACCACUCACAAUAUUUAUGCCUUAAACCGAAGACCAAAUACUGCUGGUUCCUGCCUCCUGUCUCUUCGCAGCAUCAUUAGUCGUUUUCAAGAGCUGCAUUCUGUAAGUGAAUCUGCCAGCUUGUCACUGGUCAAAGCAAGGCAUGGGGCCAGCCUAGAAUCAAGGAGAGGAGAAACAGACUUCAUCUCUUGAUGAGAGGAAUGGCAUGUGGACACAGGGAUGAGAAGCCUUGUUGGUGGCCAUCUUGGAGAAGGGAAGCUCUCUAUACAGAAUUGUUGCAGUGCCAUAUGGAAGUCCAAGCCAUCCUCUGGAGAGAGAUCAGAUGAAGAAACCAACACAUGGAGAGAGAGACAAACCACCUGGAUAGCUCCUGAAAUGUACUGACUCUGUAAGUCGAGGGAGUGCUUACCCAGAGACACUCAGCUGCUAGUUGGAGGAAGUGGUGCAUUAGGGCAACCACCACUGCAAGUCUGAGAAGUAAGUGCAUCCUGUCUGGAAGGGCAUCCUCUUACUGAAAGGACCCCUGAGCCUUCUAGCAGCAGGUCUGAUGGUGCGGCCUUGCAGCGCUGUCCAGAGAUGCCACAGGAGGUCUCAGCAAGCCCUGUGGUCAUUGCCCAC